rnacentral:lncRNA from 1 species
GUUCUCUCAUUCUCUUGCUCACUCUUGGAACACUCACUCCAAGGGAAGCAAGUUGCCAGGUGGAGAGGCCCACGUGGCAAGGGACUGGGGCCUUCCAAUAACCACAUGAGUGAACUGAGAAGAAGACUCUCCCCAGUCAGCCUCCCCCACUUAGCCUGUGGGCAACCUCAUGAGAGACUUUGAAGCAGAAGCUCUUAGCUAUGCCUUGCUUGGAUUCCUGAGCCACAGAAACUCUGACAUGAUGAAUGCUCAUUGUUUUUAAGCCACUCAGUUCUGAGGUUAUUUGUUAUGCAGCAAAGUAUAAAAAACUGCUCUCUCAGCCUCCCUGGCCCCCAGGAUAGCCAUGUGACACAGUUCUGUCUGAUAAGACAUAAGACAAGCUUAAGUUUUCCUGAUGAAGAGGAGAGAUGUGACCAUCAAUAGGGAAUGAUUUCUAAAAAUCACAAUGCAGCUGUAUAAUGGAAUGUUAUACUAUAACGAAUUUUUUGAAUGAGAUUGGGAAGGCCACUCAUACUCCGGCGGUAUCUGGAGGACCUCCGGGAAGACGGCAAGGACAGCACUUCCGAAAU